UACUUGACCGCUUUUUCCCGUCGUCUCUGUUGAAGGGGGCCAAUCCAAGCACGUGGCAGUCGCCUGCUGAAAGCACGUGAACACAUGUGACGGACUCUCCCUCGCUGUUUUCCCCUACCCGAGGAUUUCUUGACUUCACUGCUGCCGCAAAAAGAAUGCAGGCAGAGGAAUCCGGCCACGCGUCGCUGCGGAUAGAAGCGUAUCGGGUUGUUUCUCUGGGGGGCCCCAUCCCACACAAGAUCGAGUCCAUCACCACAUACCGCACGCUCGUGUUUGUGGGUACCAGUGACAGCAAGUUGCUUGCGUACCGCGUCGGAGCUUGUGACGGCAGCGCCGCAUCGCUGACCCUACUGCAGGAAAUCACGGAUAGCCGGCGCCAUGCCGUGCGACAGCUAACCGUCAUCGGUGGGCGUCGCCUACUAGUGCUCGUCGGCGACGUCAUUACUGUCUACCACAUCCACGACGAUGCCGCUUCCUCUGGGAGAGGGUUUCAGCUGCGAGACGUCACAACGAUCACAGGGCUGAAGGACACCGUCGCGUUUCACGUGAAGCAGCACCGGGGUGUCGUCUCCAUGGCGGUGCUUCAGCGCAAGCGUGUCACCUUCUUCGAGGCGUCGCACACAAAUCUCGAUUUUCUGCUAAGUGCCACAGUCGUGCUGCCUGACGGGGUCAAAACUCUGAGCUGGAUGGGGCGCAGCAUCGUACUUGGUGGGCGCAAGGAGUACUUGCUCUGCAACCCCUCCACUGCCUCCACAGCGGCCCUCUAUCCAACACCGCGAUCUGGCGCGGCGCCGCUUGUGCUGCCCAUGACACCGGUGCCGGAGGUCCUCGUCGCCAGCGACGGAGCGGGCUUGCGUGCACUCCUCUACGACGGCAGCGAGGUGCCCGGCGACUCGCGCGUGCUGUGGGCAACGCCACCGGCGGAGAUGCGCUACGAACACCCGUACGUCGUUUCUUACCAUCCGUCAGCGCCGCACCAGGCCUUGCAGGUCCGUCUUCCUCUGCUCACCACGUUGGAGGACGCCACUACCUACCCGCGGAGCUGCCUGUACCAGACCAUUGACCUCCCAAAGGUGGUGAAGGUGGCGCAGUGCCACUGGAUCGACUACGACUCCGCCAUGCCCUCCAAGACCGCGCCUCCCGAUGUGCUUUCUCACUCCCCUAUCGUCGUGGCCGACGCUGACCAUCGCCUCUACUUUCUCGCGCGAACUUCAGUGACAGGCCAGGCGGAGGCCCUCGCCGCCGCAAAGCUGUUUGCCGCCGCCGAUCUACUGUGCCGCCUCUGCCCGCACGAAGUGGCGCCGAUGACGCUGCGACAAAUUGUGAUCUCCGGGGCACUGCACAAGUUCAUCCGCCACCAGGACUACGUCGGCUGCUUCCACGACCUCAGCUCCGUCGAGUCCGACCCCCGCGUGGCAAUCCAGCUCUUUCCAGGGUUUCUGCGCCCUGACGAAGCUACACCGAGUUGCCCCGCACUCCCUCUCGCGGCACCUGCCGCCGUCGUGGCGGCUGCGCUCCCAGCGUUGGUGGAGUACCUGCAGUCGCAGCGGGCCGCGUUGGUGCUCUUGAGCGGCUGUGAGCCCGCUGAGUCGGUGCAAUCGCAGCUCAAAGCUGUGGACAGGGCACUUGUGAUGUCUUUUUGUGCCACGGAAAGGGAGGAAGCACUGCUGGAACUACUGCGUGGCAAGAAUGCCUGCGACGCAGCAGACGUAGCAGCUAUCCUUCGCGAGCGCCGGCAGUGGGUGGCCCUCACGUUGUUGCUGGAGGCACACGGCCAAUACGAGGAGGCAGCAUCGCAGCUGCGCGACCUCGCGAGCACGCGCGAUGCGGAGACCGAGGCACUGCAGGCACAGAGCGGAGCGCUUAAAGAGUUGUUUCAGCGACACCCGUUCUCUGCAGCGAGGCUGGACGCCUACGCUCCACAAUGCACUAUACGGGAAUGGCUCACGUCUCGCUCAUCUGCGCAUCUCCUCUCGGCCGCCGACAGCACGGCGAUGUGCACGGUCGCGACGGCAAUGAUGACCGCGCUGAGCUUUUUUCGGCGUCGGCCGCUGGCUCAAUUUUAUUCGCUGUUUGAGAAACACUCGUCCUGGGUGCUUGGCACGGUGCCGGCUGACAGUGCGGUGCGCAUCUUUUUCUCCGAAGCAAAUGCACCUCACUACACUGCGGCGCUGCAGGUGCUCCAAACCUACACUGAGAACCCCAGCACCACGCCGCGGCUGAUGCUGGUGGUCGAGUACCUUUUCCAACUUUUCGCAGAUGCGCGCGUGCAUGUGACGGAGCCUGCCGUGUAUGAGCGUUAUUGGCGGGGGCUCGGUGAGCUACUCUUCGCCUCUCCAGUGAAAACCGUCACGAGCGUGGAAGAACGUCAGCGCCUGCGCGACCGCCUCCGCGAGUUCCUGCUCAAUUCACCGCACGUGAACCUAGAGUCCGCGGAGGCCUACUUCGAUGCGGCAGACAUACGGUCCGCAUGUCUGCCCGAGCGGGCUGCCGUGCACCGACGCAAGGGUAGCCACCGCGCGGCCAUUACGAUGUUUCUGAACGAGUCUGAACGCCUGGAUGACGCGACCGCCUACGCUAGAAGCGUCUAUGCUGACGGCAGCAGCGAUGCCUACACAGCACUUCUCGAGGCGCUGCUGAGACCGGCUGCGGGGACUCCGCGGGUGACGGAGGCGCUCGAGGUCAUGAACACGUGUGACGGCGUAGACGCUGCCGCCGUGCUGCCAAUGCUGCCAGAUGAAAUGCCGUUUGCGCAGGUGAGCAGUUUUCUGCUGCACGCGCUACGCGCCAACACGACGGCGUACCGCGCUUCAGCCGUGUACAGUGCUAUCUUGAAAGCGAGGACACUACAGGGCCAGGAGAGCCGCGUUCACCUUUCCUCACGUGCAGUCGUGCUCGAGGAAGGGAUGGUGUGCCCGGUGUGCCAGCGCAGGUUGCGUCCGGAUACGGUGCUCGCGGUGUAUCCCGACAAUGUCGUACUGCAUCAUGGAUGCGCAUGCGACGAGCACGUGUGCUCAGCAACUCUACGCGACUACCGUCACGAUGCGUAUGCAGCUCUCGAGGAUUUGUAGAGAAAGCGGCAGGCCCUUCCGAUGAACGUCUUAGUGAAGAGUGAGAGAGGGAGUGCAAGGACCCAGUGAGAGGCGAGAAAGGGACGCACGUGAAAGUUCUACUGUCCCCCCUCUUGUAUACCGAUGACUGGCCACCCGCGAAACGAGUUGGCGCGUGGCAGGAGCAAACCGGGCGGCGAUGGGUGCAAAGCUGCCAUGCUCCUAUGGCCCUGCGAGCUGCUCCUGCCAUGAGCAGCAUGUCGGUUUAUUGGCUGACGCGUUUCGUGUAUGUGAUUCUCCUUCCUCGCUCUCUGCGGCCUCCUCACCGGUGUGUUAAAGCCGCACAGGGAUCGCAGCAUAGGAUUCCAUCAGGACCGGUGCGCUGGAUAUCAGGGUUAGCCACGGCAUGGGCUGCUUUCUCUCUUCUCCCCGUAGUGGCCACAUCGACGCGAAGGAACGUGUCUUGAGAAAGUUGUUGCGUUUCCAUGCCCACUGAGGCCUCUCGCGUGGGUAGCCUGUGUGUGUGGCUGAGCGCCAACUGACACAGCGGCACACAAGCACGGGAGGAAGGUGUCUGCGUGCCCCCGUCUCCUCGCAUGCCUUUCUCGGCUUCCCUCUUUCCGGUGCUCAUUUUUUUUAGCUGCGCAGCUCUCUCUUUCUCUC
rnacentral:misc_RNA from 1 species